UACGUAGGUGGCAAGCGUUGUCCGGAUUUACUGGGCGUAAAGAGCGCGCAGGCGGUCGUUCAAGUCGCGUGUGAAAGCCCCCGGCUCAACUGGGGAGGGUCACGCGAUACUGAUCGACUCGAAGGCAGGAGAGGGUAGUGGAAUUCCCGGUGUAGUGGUGAAAUGCGUAGAUAUCGGGAGGAAGGCCGGUGGCGAAGGCGGCGCUCUGGAACAUUUCUGACGCUGAGGCUCGAAAGCGUGGGGAGCGAACAGG
rnacentral:rRNA from 1 species